UACGUAGGGACCAAGCGUUGUUUCGGAUUUUACUGGGCGUAAAGGGGCGCGAGUAGGCGGGCAUGACAAGUCACUUUGUGAAAUCUCCGGGCUUUAACUCGGAACGGUCAAGUGAUACUGUCGCGCUAGAGUGCGGAAGGGGCAAUCAGAAUUUCUUGGUGUAGCGGUGAAAUGCGUAGAUAUCAAGAGGAAUACCUGAGGUGAAGACGGGGUUGCUAGGCCGACACUGACGGCUGAAGCGCGAAAGCCAGGGGAGCAAACGGGG
rnacentral:rRNA from 1 species